GACGAACGCUGGCGGCAUGCCUAAUACAUGCAAGUCGAGCGAACAGAUGAAGUGCUUGCACUUCUGACGUUAGCGGCGAACGGGUGAGUAACACGUAAGGAAUCUACCUAUAAGCGGGGGAUAACAUUCGGAAACGGGUGCUAAUACCGCAUAAUAUCUUCUUCCGCAUGGAAGAAGAUUGAAAGACGGCUCUGCUGUCACUUAUAGAUGACCCUGCGGUGCAUUAGUUAGUUGGUGGGGCAAUGGCCUACCAAGACGAUGAUGCAUAGCCGACCGGAGAGGGUGAUCGGCCACAUUGGGACUGAGACACGGCCCAAACUCCUACGGGAGGCAGCAGUAGGGAAUCCUCCGCAAUGGGCGAAAGCCUGACGGAGCAAUGCCGCGUGAGUGAAGAAGGCCUUCGGGUCGUAAAACUCUGCUAUAAGAGAAGAACAAAUUGUAGGGUAACUGCUACAGUCUUGACGGUAUCUUAUCAGAAAGCCACGGCUAACUACGUGCCAGCCGCCGCCGUAA
rnacentral:rRNA from 1 species